rnacentral:SRP_RNA from 1 species
GCCCCGUCGAGAGCCACCCGCCGCCGGAGGCCGUCUCGGACGACGACGUCGACGUGCGUCGCUUCCCGCAGCUGAGCGCAGA